UACGGGGGGGGCAAGCGUUGUCCGGAAUCAUUGGGCGUAAAGCGCGCGUAGGUGGCCCCAUAAGUCCGCUGUGAAAGUCAAAGGCUCAACCUUUGAAAGCCGGUGGAUACUGUGGGACUAGAGUACGGAAGAGGCGAGUGGAAUUCCUGGUGUAGCGGUGGAAUGCGCAGAUAUCAGGAGGAACACCAAUAGCGAAGGCAGCUCGCUGGGACGUUACUGACACUGAGGCGCGAAAGCGUGGGGAGCGAACAGG
rnacentral:rRNA from 1 species